GAGGGUAUAGCUCAGUGGUAGAGCGUAUGCUUAGCGUGCAUGAGUUCUUGACAGUACCUCCG
rnacentral:tRNA from 1 species